ensembl:lncRNA
ACAGUAGACUAUAGUAUAUCUUCAUGCACUGCAGAAUGUAAUCCCUACUCCAAUGAAACAAUCUUAUCAGUGACUUCUUUACACAGUUUAUGCUGCUAAAGGAAAUAAUGUGUUUAAAACAAUUUUUUUCCCCUCUUUUUUGUAUCAACACACUUAUCCAGAGGGUGAUAGUUCAUGGAUUAUUUCUCAUUUCAUAGUUGAGAAAUGCUAAGAAAAGUGGGUUUAUUAUCCUCUGAAGACAAGGUCUUGUGAUCUUUGUAUAGGUUUACAAUAGGUCAGUGUGUUUGUAAAUCUGUAUGUCCCAAAGCCCAUCUUCCAGUGUCAACUUGCAUGAGGUCCAUGCAUCCAGAAUGAAUAACUGGUUAGUCUGAGGCCAACAUGAGCAAUCUCUUCCCUUAAGGAGCUUCAAGAUAAAGAACUUGGAGUUAAGCUGAGGAGCAGAAUGAUUCUUCUAUAACAUGAAAGCUGCUUCAUAUGUAAGACUUAGACACACCAAAAGAUGAAGCCACGACUUCCAGCAAGGUUUAACUGAUGGACAGAGCCAUUAAUGGCUGAAGAAGCAAGAAUUAAAAAUGAAACAAACUUUAAUGCAGACUGCAGGGAUGCACUAUAAUGGAUAGAUCUCAAGUUUAGGCCCCAGAUGACCCCAUUUUUCCUACGUCAAACCACACUGCGAGACUUCAAAACAGCUCUAUAGAUUCUUGCAUACUAUGUAGAAUCAUAGAAUGGUUUGAGUUGGAAGGGACCCUUAAAGGUCACAUAGUCCAACUCCUCUGCAAUGAACACGGACGCCUACAGCUCCAUCAGGUGCUCAGAACCCUGUCCAGCCUGACCUGGAGUGUCUCCAGUUCUCUUUGUGUAGCUGAUGCUACAAGACACAUCGCUGGGAGAAUGAUAAUAGGAAGACUGAGAAAACACUCAGGUAUGGUAUUCACAAAGUGACGGGAAGAAAGCAGCUCUGUGAAUAGGGAAUGUGAAGGCAGAACUGGGAUGUGUACAUUUUCUUACAUUUGCUUGUAUAUCCCUCUGACUGAGAAUAUAAAAUUUUGAGGAAGAUAAUGAGAGACAGUUUAUCUGAAAAGUGGAGAUAGUGUAGGUUUUGAAACCAAGGAUGAAACUUCCAUUUUGAGGUUCCUACCCAAAUGAAUAAACACAUCCCAGGAGCUGCAUACUUCAUAUACAUUGCAGCAAACAGCUCUACAUUAGCAAACAUUCUUAAAUCUGGGUAUGUACGUCUGACAUGUAGUUUCAAGUCAGACUAACUUUGAACGUAAAUAAAAAAUACUUUU